GCCCUCCCUCCGCGCCCAGACUCCGUACGGGACGGAGGCAGUGAGGGAAUAAUUGGGCAAUAGGCGCAAGCCUGACCCAGCCAUGCCGCGUGAAGGAUGACUGCCCUAUGGGUUGUAAACUUCUUUUAUACGGGAAGAAACUUUCGAACGUGUUCGGAAUUGACGGUACUGUAUGAAUAAGCAUCGGCUAACUCCGUGCCAGCAGCCGCGGUAAUUC
rnacentral:rRNA from 1 species